rnacentral:rRNA from 1 species
GGAGCAAACAGGCUUAGAUACCCUGGUAGUCCACCCCGUAAACGUUGGGAACUAGUUGUGGGGUCCUUUCCACGGAUUCCGUGACGCAGCUAACGCAUUAAGUUCCCCGCCUGGGGAGUACGGCCGCAAGGCUAAAACUCAAAGGAAUUGACGGGGACCCGCACAAGCGGCGGAGCAUGCGGAUUAAUUCGAUGCAACGCGAAGAACCUUACCAAGGCUUGACAUACACGAGAACACCCUAGAAAUAGGGGACUCUUUGGACACUCGUGAACAGGUGGUGCAUGGUUGUCGUCAGCUCGUGUCGUGAGAUGUUGGGUUAAGUCCCGCAACGAGCGCAACCCUCGUUCUAUGUUGCCAGCACGUAAUGGUGGGAACUCAUGGGAUACUGCCGGGGUCAACUCGGAGGAAGGUGGGGAUGACGUCAAAUCAUCAUGCCCCUUAUGUCUUGGGCUUCACGCAUGCUACAAUGGCCGGUACAAAGGGCUGCAAUACCGUGAGGUGGAGCGAAUCCCAAAAAGCCGGUCCCAGUUCGGAUUGAGGUCUGCAACUCGACCUCAUGAAGUGGGAGUCGCUAGUAAUCGCAGAUCAGCAACGCUGCGGUGAAUACGUUCCCGGGUCUUGUACACACCGCCCGUCAAGUCAUGAAAGUCGGUAACACCUGAAGCCGGUGGCCCAACCCUUGUGGAGGGAGCCGUCGAA